UUUUAGGAGGACUACCAAGGGGCUAGUGACUGGUUGGCUACUUUUAGGUGGACUACCAAGGGGCUAGUGACUGGUUGGCUACUUUUAGGAGGACUACCAAGGGGCUAGUGACUGGUUGGCUACUUUUAGGUGGACUACCAAGGGGCUAGUGACUGGUUGGCUACUUUUAGGAGGACUACCAAGGGGCUAGUGACUGGUUGGCUACUUUUAGGAGGGCUAGUGACUGGUUGGCUACUUUUAGGGGGACUAGUGACUGGUUGGCUACUUUUAGGAGGGCUAGUGACUGGUUGGCUACUUUUAGGGGGACUAGUGACUGGUUGGCUACUUUUAGGGGGACUAGUGACUGGUUGGCUACUUUUAGGGGACUAGUGACUGGUUGGCUACUUUUAGGUGGACUAGUGACUGGUUGGCUACUUUUAGGAGGACUAGUGACUGGUUGGCUUCUUUUAGGUGGACUAGUGACUGGUUGGAUACUUUUAGGAGGACUAGUGACUGGUUGGCUACUUUUAGGUGGACUACCAAGGGACUAGUGACUGGCUUCUUCAAGGCUGUUACUUCCAUGUCUUAACUCCUACUAUUCUGUAGAUUGACUGCUCUUCUCUGAG
rnacentral:lncRNA from 1 species